GACGAACGCUGGCGGCGUGCUUAACACAUGCAAGUCGAACGCUGAACCCGCUUCGGUGGGGGAUGAGUGGCGAACGGGUGAGUAACACGUGGGCAACCUGCCCCCGGCUCUGGGAUAACUCCAAGAAAUUGGGGCUAAUACCGGAUGUGACCGCUGGCCGCAUGGUCUGGUGGUGGAAAGGGUUUCCGGCUGGGGAUGGGCCCGCGGCCUAUCAGCUUGUUGGUGGGGUAGUGGCCUACCAAGGCGACGACGGGUAGCCGGCCUGAGAGGGUGACCGGCCACACUGGGACUGAGACACGGCCCAGACUCCUACGGGAGGCAGCAGUGGGGAAUAUUGCGCAAUGGGCGGAAGCCUGACGCAGCGACGCCGCGUGGGGGAUGGCGGCCUUCGGGUUGUAAACCUCUUUCAGCAGGGACGAAGCGCAAGUGACGGUACCUGCAGAAGAAGCACCGGCCAACUACGUG
rnacentral:rRNA from 1 species